rnacentral:rRNA from 1 species
UCCGUAGGUGAACCUGCGGAGGGAUCAUUGCUGGAACACGCCUCGCGGCGUACCCAGAAACCCUUUUGUGAACUUAUACCUUUUAUCGUUGCCUCGGCACGGCCCGGGGGGCGCUUUAGCCCCUCCCAGCCUCGCGGCUGGAGAAGGCCUGCCGGUGGCCCAAUAAACUCUUGUUUUCUGAACGUAUCUCUUCUGAGUAACAAACAAAAAAAAAUGAAUCAAAACUUUCAACAACGGAUCUCUUGGUUCUGGCAUCGAUGAAGAACGCAGCGAAAUGCGAUAAGUAAUGUGAAUUGCAGAAUUCAGUGAAUCAUCGAAUCUUUGAACGCACAUUGCGCCCGCUGGUAUUCCAGCGGGCAUGCCUGUUCGAGCGUCAUUUCAACCCUCAAGCUCCCGUGCUUGGUGUUGGGGCACAGCCUUGUCAAAGAGGCUGGCCCUCAAAUUUAGUGGCGAGCUCGCUAAGACUCCGAGCGUAGUAAUUACUUCUCGCUUAGGUUGACUUAGCGGCCCUCUGCCGUAAAACCCCCUAAAUUUUUCUGAAAGUUGACCUCGGAUCAGGUAGGAAUACCCGCUGAACUUAAGCAUAUCAAUAAGCGGAGGA